rnacentral:sRNA from 1 species
AACUAAACCUUAUUGAAACGGAAAGCCCGCAUUCCAAUAGGCACUGAUGAUUCUUGUAAACACUUGCUUUACUGUAGCACAGGAUUUUUGAAGCGGACUUGGAGUGUAAAGAAGGACUGACU